rnacentral:rRNA from 1 species
UGGGGAAUUUUGGACAAUGGACGCAAGUCUGAUCCAGCCAUGCCGCGUGCGGGAAGAAGGCCUUCGGGUUGUAAACCGCUUUUGUCAGGGAAGAAACGAGUUUCUCUAAUACAGAGACUUAAUGACGGUACCUGAAGAAUAAGCACCGGCUAACUACGUGCCAGCAGCCGCGGUAAUACGUAGGGUGCGAGCGUUAAUCGGAAUUACUGGGCGUAAAGCGUGCGCAGGCGGUUUUGUAAGACAGAGGUGAAAUCCCCGGGCUCAACCUGGGAAUUGCCUUUGUGACUGCAAGGCUUGAGUGCGGCAGAGGGGGAUGGAAUUCCGCGUGUAGCAGUGAAAUGCGUAGAUAUGCGGAGGAACACCGAUGGCGAAGGCAAUCCCCCUGGCCUGCACUGACGCUCAUGCACGAAAGCGUGGGGAGCAAACA